AUGAAGGGCCUAGAGACCUUCAAGUUGGGAUAUAUCUGGAGAAUCGGAACGGGUGAAAAUGUUAAUAUUUGGACUGACCCAUGGAUCCCUGCUAGUCCAGACCGGAAGGUAAUAUCUAUACGAGGCCAAUCCAUUCUUACUUCUGUUGCGGAACUCAUUGAUCCAAUUUCGGGCACCUGGGAUGAGGACUUAAUCAACUCAAAUCUGAAUCUGGUUGAUGUUAGCAGAAUCCUGCAAAUACCAUUGAACACCAACAGUUUCCAAGAUUUUAUUGCAUGGCAACCGGACCGGCGAGGGAUCUUUUCGGUCCGUACAGCAUACAGAGUUCAGUGGAAUCGAUCUUUCCGGCCCCAUGCAGCUGCCCUGGCACAGUCGAGCAGAUCGUGUCCCCAGGCAGUAUGGAGUACUCUAUGGAAGCUACCGAUCCCACGUAAAAUCCAGAUUUUCUGUUGGAGAGCUCUCCAUGGAAUCCUGCCUCUAAAGGCUAUACUCACUAACAGACACAUAGGGUCAGUGGGAGCGUGCCCAAUCUGCCAUGGAGGAGCUGAGGAUAUUAAGCAUCUAAUGUUUGAUUGCUACAAUGCAAGAGAACUCUGGAAUCGUCUGGGUAUCAUGGAUAUAGUUGAUGAAGCAAUGACUCUAGACCGAUCUGGCUCGGUCAUCCUUGAAAAUCUACUCCUAGCGGAGCCGAGACCAUUGCCAUUGAAACCAACCCUGGAUAUCAAGCAAGUUCUAGCUGUGGGAAGUUGGUAUCUCUGGUGGAUCCGUCGACAAUAUACCCAUAAUGGUACACCUCCACCGGCCUUUAAAUGGCCUAUGUCGGUUCUUGCUAUUACUAAUAACUUUCAUCAGGCUAAUGUGAAGGGAAGGAGUUCCCCGGAUGAGAGAUGGACUAAACCAGAUAUCAAGUUCAUUAAAUUAAAUGUGGAUGCAGCCUACUAUGUUGAUGAAGGAGUGGGUGCGACGGCUGCAGUAAUCAGGGACGAGAAGGGCAUGUUCCUGGCGGCUCAAUGCAUUUUUAUCACCCAUGCAGCAAGUGCAGUAUCCACCGAGGCAAGAGCAAUGAGAGAUGGUCUAGCGUUUGCAAAUUCUUUGGGCUUCCCUCGGGUUGAAGCAGAAUCGGAUUCCUCAACUGUGAUUGAAUCAUGUACGGGCCAAGCAACAUGGUGGGAUGAAGCAGCAGCAAUCUUCGCCGAAUGUGUGGAUCUCUCUUCGUUGAUUGGGAAGGUCAAUUUUAAACAUUGUUCACGCUCUUGUAAUCAAGCAGCGCAUGUGCUAGCUAAAUUUAGUUACUGUAAUAAGUUUUCUUUUGUCUGGACGGACGAGCCUCCGGGCUGUCUCGUCUCCGUACUUGUGGAUGAUGUUUUUCCCUUUUAA
rnacentral:rRNA from 1 species